CCCUAUGGGGUGCAGCAGGCGCGAAACCUUUACAAUGCACGAAAGUGUGAUAAGGGAACCCAAAGUGCUUAGCUUAGCUAGGCUUUUGCUAAGAGUAAAUAUCUUAGAGAAUAAGUGAUGGGAAAGACUGGUGCCAGCCGCCGCGGUAAUACCAGCGUCACGAGUGGGGACUGCAAUUAUUGGGCCUAAAGCGUCCGUAGCCUGUUUGAUAAAUUUCUUGUGAAAUUGUUAAGCUCAACUUAACAACGUGCAGGAAAGACUGUCAAACUCGGGGCUGGGAGAGGUUAGAAGUAUCUUUGGGGUAGCGGUAAAAUGUUAUAAUCCUAAGGAGACUACCAAUGGCGAAGGCAUUUAACCAGAACAGGUCCGACGGUGAGGGACGAAAGCUAGGGGAGCAAACCGGAUUAGAUACCCGAGUAGUCCUAGCUGUAAACGCUGCGAGCAGGAUGUUGUGUACUCUUCGUGCAUAUGCAGUAUCGAAGAGAAGUCGUUAAGCUCGCCGCCUGGGAAGUAUGGUCGCAAGACUGAAACUUAAAGGAAUUGGCGGGGGAGCACUACAAAGGGUGCGGCGUGCGGUUUAAUCUAACUCAACGCAGAGAGUCUCACCAGGAGCGACGGCAGGAUGAAAGUCAGAUUAAAGGUUUUACUUGACGAGCCGAGAAGAAGUGCAUGGCC
rnacentral:rRNA from 1 species